GAGGGGGUCUGCUGCCCGGACUUUAGCUGCCCAAUGGGGGGGGGGGUUUGCUGCCGUGGUCUUACUCCGCCGGGACUUGACCGGACCGGACGGGAAAAUUCCUCCGACUAAGCAUCAUCAUCCGCCAUGCCUGCCUGCCCGCCCGAGUUCCAGCUAUGCUGUGGUGCCGUCAUUUCCUUUCCUCCGUGGGCCCUACGACCGUAGCCCACACGUUCAUUCACUUACAAGCCUCCGGUGACCUCACCACUUUCUCUUCAUCCAGGUGAAUAAAAAAUAAAUUGUUUUUUUAGUUGUUCCUGAUUGCCAUGUAUUUUACUCCAUCGCUUGCUUUUUUACACGGAUUUCCUUUUACCACCCCCCUCCCUACCCCCCCCCCAAGCCUUUGCUGUGGGCUUCAGGCACCACACUCAUUCAGUCCUCUCCUCCUGCAGAAAGCCACAUCAUAAGCAUGAUCUCCACCUUGGUCUCUUCUACUUGUACUUCUGCUUCUGCUUCUGCUUUUCCCUUUCCUGUGUUAUGUUCUGUUCCUUCUUGUGUUCGUAAACACAAGUGUGCAUCAUCUGGAGCCACAAAGUGUCCUUCGUAAAGUAAAAUUGAGUGUUGGAAAUGGUCCCCACAACAGAGAACCUGUGAAGGAGCCUUUUGUUAUGAAUGGCAUCACAGAGGAAUCCUGGUAGAUUUUGUCCAUCAAUAUCCCUGUGUGUGGUUUUUUCACUAUUAUGUUAUUGGGCACAUAAGAGGUAUACCUGCCACAAUGAUUAAAAAGUGGAGUAAAGUACAUUAGCAUCCAGGAUUGUAAAACCCCACUAAGUUCUUGAGGUGAAUUGUGGAGCAAUUUACCAUGUGUUGAGUGUUAUACCUACAUCAGUUGGUUUGCCAAUUCCCUUCAAGUUAAUGAACUUUAAAAACUGCUGUGGAAAUCUAGUGUUCCAUCUUGUAUUUAUAGCCCUGUUUUCCAAAGUGUCCCUGGCUCUUUUAAAGGUAAUAGUGAGGUUUCUGAUUGCAUAAAAUGGCUUUGAAAAAAAAAUAAUAAUAAUAAUAAUAAUGAUCAUUACCAUUGUCUAUGAAACUAUGGAGGAAAUUUCACAUGACCCUCAAAGAGUUGAGAUCAUGACAUAUGAUCCACAUCUUUUCCUUGGAUGUUGUACAUUCUUAGUGUUAUAUUUAAAAGGUUGGUGGAUCAUGUGAGAGUUUGUGCCACUAAUUGUUCCCCUUUGAUUGAGGUUUGAUUGCAGUAUCUGCAUUCCUCCAGUCAAGGAGGAGUACCACACUGCUUCAAAUUUGCCUUGGACUCGAUGCAAAAGAAUGUCCUAAAGACAUAACUUGUGGUUACAAACUCCAAGGUGGA
rnacentral:lncRNA from 1 species